rnacentral:rRNA from 1 species
UACGUAGGGUGCGAGCGUUGCCCGGAUUUAUUGGGCGUAAAGGGCGCGUAGGCGGCUCUGCACGUCCGUUGUGAAAUCGCCCGGCUCAACUGGGCGGGGUCAGCGGAUACGGCGGAGCUUGAGCAAGCUAGGGGGCAAUGGAAUUCCCGGUGUAGUGGUGGAAUGCGUAGAUAUCUGGAGGAAUACCGGUGGCGAAGGCGGCAUCCUGGACCGGCAUUGACGCUGAGGAGCGAAAGCUAGGGGAGCAAACGGG